UAGAGAAACCCGUAAGAAACCCUAGAUCUACUAAUUACGGCGGCUAAAAACCCGUAAGAAACCCUAGAUCUACUAAUUACGGCGGCUAAAAAUCCGUAAGAAACCCUAUAUCAUACCUUGGUUGUUGUUGUUGUCGUCGGCGGCGGCAGAUAAUGGGAACCCUAAUUUCAGUUGUCGUCGCCGAUGUUGGGAAGGAAGAAGAGAGAAGAACGAGAGAGAGGAAGAAGAGAGAAGAACGAGAGAAGUGAAAUAGAAGAGAGAGGGAGAAAGAGAGAUUGAAGGAGAAUAAAUAGGUAGAAACUUUGUAAUGUGAACGCAAUAAUCGUAGUGUGAACGCAAGUCGUGGGGUCUAUUUUUAAAAAAAAUUGUAUUUAUUUGAAUAUUCAGAAUACACAUAGUUGUAUGUAUAUGUACAGUUGGCCGGAAUCACAAACAGUUGAACUAUUCUAAAUUUUGUGUUUUUGAAGUUGAAUCUGAAAAACCAACUCAUUUUUUAGUUGGUCCCAUAAGUUUUAACAUAUUAAUGGAUUUUAAUAAGUUUUGAUAGAAUCAUAUUUAGUAAAUAACUGUUUUCAUACAUAACGUAUGUACAUUGGACAAUCAUGAACUAUAUGUUCCUUGUUAUACAUAGGUGAUUUAUUAGGAAACCAGUUUAUGAUCAAGUUUAGUAAUAACAAUGUUGUAAUAUCAUAUUUUGGAUUUAUUCAAUGUUUAGAUGUUGAUAAUAGCUGAAAAUAUUGAGAAUUAUUUUAUCAUUUUGUUAAUCCUAAAAUACAGAUACAUAUAUCAGUUGUCUCAGUUGAACUUAAAAAAAUACAUUAAACUUGCAAAUAAUUCAAUAAACUUGCAAAGAAUUCAAUACAAAUACGAAAACAUAAAACAUAGUACAUCACACUUACAAAUAAUAUAAUACAAAUACAAAUGAACUUAGUUGUAUUGGUUGAACCCUUUCUCCAGUUGGCGAGGUUCUUCCGGUUGAACCCUUUCUGCAUCAGACUUAAUCUUCCUCAGGCUGCAACCAAGCCUCCAAGUUUAUUCCAGGUUGCGAUUUUCUCCUCUUUCGCGCUUCACCAGCUGAUGGAAACCGCUUCUCUUGAUUUCGUCCUGGUCCUUUUGGUGUGUAUUCCGGCGGAAAGGCAACUAACUCUUUAAUAUGGGCAGGAAGAACCCAAACCGACUCAUGUGGGACUACAUACAACGUUCGGUAAUAGGCCAAUGACCAACUAUCUAUCAAGUAAUACACAGAGCAGAGUCCGUAAAUCAUCACAUCAAUCAUUGGUAACAAGUGAUAUUUUCUCGCUUUUUUAAACACACCAUUAAUGGACUCCGCAGAAUUACUAGUGUCAAUGUUAUACUUGUCUCCUUUAAAAUGGCACCUCGACCAUUUCUCAAACCCUACUUUCACAAGAAAGUCAACAGCUUUAGGCCAUAAACUUGUAAAAUGACCAAACUCUUUCUCGAACUCACUCUCAGUAUAUGCAUGAGCACAAUCCCUGAACUUGACAGCAGCUCCAUCCUUGUCAAUUUUCACACGAUCUCUCAUGUUUUGACACAAAUGCCAUAUACAAGCUGCAUGAAGCGCAUUCGGGUACACCGUCUUGACAGCCUUCUUUAUGCUUUGAUGCCUAUCACUAAUAAAGACCAAUCUGGGAACAUCCGAAUAUACAGUUUUCAGCUUUUCUAAGAACCAAAUCCAACUUACAUCCUUCUCGCUAUCAAUGAUUCCAAACGCAAGUGGAUAAUGAUGAUGAUUAGGAUCGUGUGCUGUUGCAAUAACCAACAUCCCACCAUACACAGUUUUAAGAUGAGUUGCAUCCACAACUAUCACUUUCCGCAUUGCCCUAAAACCUUCAAUGCAAGCGCCUAAUGCAAUGAAGAGGUACUUGAACUUUUUCUCUCCUUCCAACUCCACAUAAGUUACUGUCCCUGGAUUUACCUUCUCUAACAUGUAAAGAUAAGAAAAUAACAUCGUGUAGCUUCUUUCCGGAGUCCCUCGCACAUCACUAACAUGUAGCAUUUUGCCUCUUAAGGCAGUGGAGUAUGAACAAUGCACCCCAAGUCUUCCUCUUACAAUCGACAUAAUGUUUUUUGGAGUUGGGGUCUCUAAAUUUCCGGGAUAGUCACAAUGCAAAAACCGAUGCUAUUAAUCUUGGUGUGCCUCGCUGUAUACUGUUGCUUGUAGUCUCAACACUCCGAGAGCAUGUAUGCAUCUUUCUAUGCACUCUAACACUCCAAAAAUGAGAUUUCUUAGUUCUCGCAACUCUUAGAUACCAAGUACACCCUUUAGAAGCUUGGCGGCAUCGUAGCAUAAGUCUCAACGGGUCUGACUUAAUAGUAUAGACUCCAAAAACUUCUUUCUUUGCAGCUCUGUUAACCAAUUCCCACACAGCCUCCCUUGAACAAAAUUCUUGACCAAUUUCAAUACCCGUACCAUCAUCCCAUUCUAUAACCUGCGGAGUAACUUCUACACUUCGUGGAAUAUCGUGAAUAUCAUCAUAAUCAAUCCUAUCAUCCUCAUCUUCUUCCUCAACAGAAUUCACCGGCCUUUCCAUCGGCCUUUCGACAGCCACGAUCUUCGUACCUACUACAUUCUCACAAUCAUUCACAUCAUUAUCAUAUCCAUCAUGCACCAUCUCAUAUACUUCAUUUAAAACAUUUACACCAACUGAAAUUCGACGCUCCGGUACAGAAAUUUCCUCUCUCCUCUCAACUCCUAUACCAUUUAAUUCCUCCACAUGCAAAACAGGAAUCCGACUCUCUUCAUCAGAUUCUGUUAAAAAUAUGAAGACAUCCUCAUCAUCUACAAUAUAUGUCUCUCUCCUAACUUUAGACAGAUUGUAACUCAGUUUCAACUUGACAGAAGCUUCAUCAAUCGCAACCUUCUUCAUGAUCUUGUCAACUAACAUCGAAUAGGUAAUCUUCUCCAAACUACUCGUCUUAAACGAUAUAGCAUAUAGUGAAUUUUUACCAAUCCACUCAUUCACUUCAGAAUAGUAUCCUCCAAAGUCAAAAUGUACCUUAGUGUGGAUCUUCUUCUUCAUCGCUCCUGAAAAUACAACCAGGUCAACUCCAAUCAAACAUUUUAAUAGUUAUACCACAUGUACUCUUAUCAUACGUUGAAAUCAAUCUCUCGUCGCACUCGAUUCUACUGAACCUAAUUCGUUACCUUUCAAUUGAUUUCCAAUGUUAAUACAUACCUAUUCGUUAAACUAAUUGGUUAAUCUAAACUUUGCAAACACAAACCCCCCAAAUCUUUAAUAUGAAAUCUCGAAAUUCAAAUUCAACUCACAUUCAACCUACAUUCCUUUGCUCAUCACCUCAAAUAACGUUUCGGCAACCUCUAAUCGAUUACUCUUUACUUUGCAAACCAAUCAUCAAACUAUCAAAUUGAAUCUGGGAAUUAUAUAGAAUUCAAAAUCCCAAUCUAAAAUCACAAUACACCAAUGUCAAAGGAAAUAUGAGAAGAAACUGACCUAAUUCGUUGGCUUUUACGCCGGAUUUCAAGUCGGCGGCGGCCGGAAUCGAUGGUGGCCGACGAAGAAGAUGAACGUCGACCAAAGAAGAAGAACACGACGACGAAGAGGAGAGAGAACGGAGGAUCUCGAUUCUUUAUUUAGCUUUUGAAUUUCUUUUUCAUUUUUUUAAUUAACUCAUUAAGGGUACAACUGGUAUAUCACAUUUUCGGUGGCAUUCAGAUUAACUGAUGGCAGUCCAGAUCAGUUUUUUCAAAAAAGUGGCAUAAGUGAUAAAAGUUCAGGUAAUUUAGGGUUUGGGUGAGCUUGGUCGAAAAAAUUAGAGGUGGAGGGAGGAGGUGGCUGAGGGGAAGGAGGAGGUUUGGGGAGAUGGUCCAGCCAUAGCGGCGGAGGCGGUGGAGGAGCAGAUUAGAGACAUCAUUGAUAGAUGGAGAAGAAGAUAGUUGCUCCUCGAGAGCUUUUUUUUCUUCGCUCAAAGUUAUUGUGUUUUUUUCACAAGUAUUGGCACUUAACUAAAUAUUUUGGGCUAAGUAGUGGCGGAAUAAGUGAUUUAGUUUUCCCCUUAGUGAAAUUAUAUCUUAGCGUUGUUUCAAUGCUAUUAUACAAUAUCUAAAAUAAAAUUUCAUUUUUCAUAACAUUUACGGAAAAUGAGCUUUGGUGGUGUGCUAUCAAUGUGGAUAUUUGUUGUAGCGUAAACACAAUGUCAUUAAGCAGUUCUUGAGCCAAUUGGAUUCCUUUCCUUGGUAUGGAGAUGUGAAAACACACUCCAAUUUCUCUCAAAACCAGUCGCACUACACGUGAGACGAAGAAUAUUGCAAAGUCUCUAAGUGUUGGUGUUGU
rnacentral:sRNA from 1 species